GCUAUUUGGCCUAAAGAUGUUACAUUGCUCAAUAUUGGGCAGUUGGCUUGUCCAUGUGUUUCGUAUAUACUAAAUGUGAAAAUCACCAGACCUCUUUAUGAUCACGAGGCAUUGGGAUCAUUUCCAUAUACGCCCAAGUAAAUUUGUGUAGUGAGAGCUCCACUUAGCCCACCAAAACCUUUCAAGACACCUAACAAGAGUCCUCUAUUCUCUGGGAAAUUUUUGACACAAGUGACAAGAACUCCAGUAUUUGCAAAGUUGAGAGAAUUUGCUUCAAUGAACAUAUACAUGCACAUCUGCCAAACCUUUGGCUUGGCGAUUUUGCUAGUGACAACUAGCCAGAUCAUGAAGUAACCUACAAAAUUCAUGGAUGAGCCUGUAAAGAGAAUAAACCAUUGUUGGAGUUACCUCAGCAAUUAGGCCUGAAACUAUCCCAAUACCCGUGGCAAGUUCUUUGAAGAAGCUUAACAGAUUGAGCGUGCGCUGAUCAUAAGCUAGAGAAGUUUUUAUCUCUAUGGAGUAUAUUCCAAAAAGAUAUAUUCCUCCUACCGCUGCCGUGAUAAGAGAAGAGGCGAAAAGAGGAAACCAUCGCCCACGAAUUACAUGUAAAGAAAAUUGAAGCCCGUCAGCAACACCUCCAACAGCAGCAGCCUUGUUUUCUGUCAUGAUAGUUCAAGUAGUGAAUGUAUAUCCCUCUAUUGUAGAUUGAGAUUUAAAUUUGGAAAACAAACAAGAAAUCCUUCUUAAAAUUAAGCAACAAGAUAAUUAGCAUUUAAUAUUACAAUAAGAUAAUUAGCUUUUUUACAUGAAGAACACUCCCACUUACAC
rnacentral:lncRNA from 1 species